AGCGGCGAACGGGUGAGUAACACGUGGGUGAUCUGCCUUGCACUUCGGGAUAAGCCUGGGAAACUGGGUCUAAUACCGGAUAUGACCACGAACUGCAUGGUUUGUGGUGGAAAGAUUUAUCGGUGCGAGAUGGGCCCGCGGCCUAUCAGCUUGUUGGUGAGGUAACGGCCCACCAAGGCGACGACGGGUAGCCGACCUGAGAGGGUGACCGGCCACACUGGGACUGAGACACGGCCCAGACUCCUACGGGAGGCAGCAGUGGGGAAUAUUGCACAAUGGGCGAAAGCCUGAUGCAGCGACGCCGCGUGCGGGAUGACGGCCUUCGGGUUGUAAACCGCUUUUGACAGGGACGAAGCGCAAGUGACUGUACCUGUAGAAUAAGGACCGGCCAACUACGUGCCAGCAGCCGCGGUAAUACGUAGGGUCCGAGCGUUGUCCGGAAUUACUGGGCGUAAAGAGCUUGUAGGCGGUUCGUCGCGUCGUUUGUGAAAACUUGGGGCUCAACCUUAAGCUUGCAGGCGAUACGGGCGGACUAGAGUACUUCAGGGGAGACUGGAAUUCCUGGUGUAGCGGUGAAAUGCGCAGAUAUCAGGAGGAACACCGGUGGCGAAGGCGGGUCUCUGGGAAGUAACUGACGCUGAGAAGCGAAAGCAUGGGUAGCAAACAGGAUUAGAUACCCUGGUAGUCCAUGCCGUAAACGGUGGGUACUAGGUGUGGGGCUCCUUCCACGGACUCCGUGCCGUAGCUAACGCAUUAAGUACCCCGCCUGGGGAGUACGGCCGCAAGGCUAAAACUCAAAGAAAUUGACGGGGGCCCGCACAAGCGGCGGAGCAUGUGGAUUAAUUCGAUGCAACGCGAAGAACCUUACCUGGGUUUGACAUACACCGGAAACCUGCAGAGAUGUAGGCCCCCUUGUGGUCGGUGUACAGGUGGUGCAUGGCUGUCGUCAGCUCGUGUCGUGAGAUGUUGGGUUAAGUCCCGCAACGAGCGCAACCCUUAUCUUAUGUUGCCAGCGCGUAAUGGCGGGGACUCGUGAGAGACUGCCGGGGUCAACUCGGAGGAAGGUGGGGACGACGUCAAGUCAUCAUGCCCCUUAUGUCCAGGGCUUCACACAUGCUACAAUGGCCGGUACAGAGGGCUGCGAUACCGCGAGGUGGAGCGAAUCCCUUAAAGCCGGUCUCAGUUCGGAUCGGGGUCUGCAACUCGACCCCGUGAAGUUGGAGUCGCUAGUAAUCGCAGAUCAGCAACGCUGCGGUGAAUACGUUCCCGGGCCUUGUACACACCGCCCGUCACGUCAUGAAAGUCGGUAACACCC
rnacentral:rRNA from 1 species